CCUUGCCAGCCCGCUCAGAACUCAAAGGAAUUGACGGGGCCGCACAAGCGGAGGAGCAUGUGGUUAAUUCGAUGAUACGCGAGGAACCUUACCUGGGCUCGAACGUAAGAUGACUGUAGGUGAAAGCUUACAUCUCUUCGGAGCAUUUUACGAGGUGCUGCAUGGUUGUCGUCAGCUCGUGCCGUGAGGUGUCGGGUUAAGUCCCAUAACGAGCGCAACCCCUACCUUUAGUUGCCAUCAGGUAAUGCUGGGGACUCUAAAGGAACUGCCUACGCAAGUAGUGAGGAAGGCGGGGAUGACGUCAAAUCAGCACGGCCCUUACGUCCAGGGCUACACACGUGCUACAAUGGCCGAUACAGAGGGCAGCUACCUGGUGACAGGAUGCAAAUCUCCAAAGUCGGUCUCAGUUCGGAUCGGAGUCUGCAACCCGACUCCGUGAAGUUGGAUUCGCUAGUAAUCGCGCAUCAGCCAUGGCGCGGUGAAUACGUUCCCGGGCCUU
rnacentral:rRNA from 1 species